GUCGGGGUCGCAUAGCCUGGUCCAUUGCGGUGGCUUGCUAAGCCAUUGGGGGUGUAUGCUCCCACGCGGGUUCAAAUCCCGCCCCUGACG
rnacentral:tRNA from 1 species